UACGGGGGGAGCAAGCGUUGUUCGGAUUUACUGGGCGUAAAGGGCGCGUAGGCGGUCAGCACAAGUCAGUUGUGAAAUCUCCGGGCUUAACUCGGAAAGGUCAACUGAUACUGUGCGACUAGAGUGCAGAAGGGGCAACUGGAAUUCUCGGUGUAGCGGUGAAAUGCGUAGAUAUCGGGAAGAACACCUAUGGCGAAGGCAGCUCUCUGGGACGGUACUGACGCUGAGACGCGAAAGCGUGGGGAGCGAACAGG
rnacentral:rRNA from 1 species